rnacentral:rRNA from 1 species
GUGCCAGCCGCCGCGGUAAGACGAACCGUGCGAACGUUGUUCGGAAUCACUGGGCUUAAAGGGCGCGUAGGCGGGCUGUCAAGUCCGGGGUGAAAUCCUCCCGCUCAACGGGAGAACGGCCUCGGAUACUGACGAUCUCGAGGGGGAUAGGGGCACGCGGAACUGUGGGUGGAGCGGUGAAAUGCGUUGAUAUCCAUAGGAACUCCGGUGGCGAAGGCGGCGUGCUGGAUCCCUUCUGACGCUGAGGCGCGAAAGCCAGGGGAGCAAACGGGAUUAGAAACCCCCGUAGUCC